GACGAACGCUGGCGGCGUGCUUAACACAUGCAAGUCGAACGGAAAGGCCCUGCUUUUGUGGGGUGCUCGAGUGGCGAACGGGUGAGUAACACGUGAGUAACCUGCCCUUGACUUUGGGAUAACUUCAGGAAACUGGGGCUAAUACCGGAUAGGAGCUCCUGCUGCAUGGUGGGGGUUGGAAAGUUUCGGCGGUUGGGGAUGGACUCGCGGCUUAUCAGCUUGUUGGUGGGGUAGUGGCUUACCAAGGCUUUGACGGGUAGCCGGCCUGAGAGGGUGACCGGCAACAUGGGACCUGGGUUACGCCCAGAAUUCUUCGGGGGGGAGGAGGUGGGAAUAAUUGACAAUGGGCGGAAGCCUGAUGCAGCAACGCCGCGUGCGGGAUGACGGCCUUCGGGUUGUAAACCGCUUUCGCCUGUGACGAAGCGUGAGUGACGGUAAUGGGUAAAGAAGCACCGGCUAACUACGUG
rnacentral:rRNA from 1 species